rnacentral:rRNA from 1 species
AUUGAACGCUGGCGGCAGGCCUAACACAUGCAAGUCGAACGAGUGGCGGACGGGUGAGCUAUGUCUGGGCCACUGCCCGAUGGAGGGGGCUCACUACUGGAAACGGUAGCCAAUACCGCAUACCAUCGGAUGUGCCGAGAUGGGAUUAGCUAGUGGGUGGGGUAAAGGCAAACCUAGGCGACGAUCCCUAGCUGGUCUGAGAGGAUGACCAGCCACACUGGAACUGAGACACGGUCCAGACUCCUACGGGAGGCAGCAGUGGGGAAUAUUGCACAAUGGGCGCAAGCCUGAUACAGCCAUGCCGCGUGUGUGAAGAAGGCCUUCGGAUUGUAAAGCACUUUCAGCGGGGAGGCGUUACCCACAGAAGAAGCACCGGCUAACUCCGUGCCAGCAGCCGCGGUAAUAC